rnacentral:rRNA from 1 species
AGAGUUUGAUCAUGGCUCAGGAUGAACGCUGGCGGCGUGCAUAAUACAUGCAAGUCGAACGGGCCCUCUGUACUUGUACGGAGGUGUCCUAGUGGCGAACGGGUGAGUAACACGUAGGCGACCUGCCCCGAAGCGGGGGAUAACCUCUGGAAACGGAGGCUAAUACCCCAUACGCUCCAUGGUGUUAGAGGACCACGGAGGAAAGGAGCAAUCCGCUUUGGGAGGGGCCUGCGGCCCAUCAGCUAGUUGGUAGGGUAAUGGCCUACCAAGGCUACGACGGGUAGGGGGCCUGAGAGGGUGGUCCCCCACACUGGCACUGAAACACGGGCCAGACACCUACGGGUGGCAGCAGUAGGGAAUAUUGCCCAAUGGACGAAAGUCUGAGGCAGCAACGCCGCGUGCGCGAUGAAGGCCUUCGGGUUGUAAAGCGCUUUUCUGGGGGAAGAGGAAGGACGGUACCCCAGGAAUAAGUCUCGGCUAACUACGUGCCAGCAGCCGCGGUAAAACGUAGGAGGCGAGCGUUAUCCGGAUUUACUGGGCGUAAAGCGCGUGCAGGCGGCUUGGUAAGUCGGACGUGAAAGCUCCCGGCUCAACUGGGAGAGGCCGUUCGAAACUACCAGGCUAGAGGACAGUAGAGGGAGGUGGAAUUCCGGGUGUAGCGGUGAAAUGCGUAGAUAUCCGGAGGAACACCAGUGGCGAAGGCGGCCUCCUGGACUGCUCCUGACGCUCAGACGCGAAAGCUAGGGGAGCAAACGGGAUUAGACA